CCCCUCUCGUGAUGGCACCUGGAGAGUUUCCAGUACCCUACCAGUCUUGGCUAUGGGAGGGAAAGUCAAGGAGAGCCAUACCCAUUCCAUUCCUAGCUUGCAUAGUAGCUAGGGAGUGGAAGGCAAUAUGCUACAAGU